CCAGGUUUGGAUGAAGAAGGAAGCCUCUACGUCUUUAAGGAGGACCACAUCAUUGAGUUUGAUGGACAGAUGGCCGCCGACGUCUUGGUGGAAUUCCUCCUGGACCUGAUGGAGGAUCCAGUGGAGAUCAUCAACAACAAGCUGGAGCUGCAGGGCUUUGACCGCAUAGAAGAGGAGAUGAAACUGAUCGGCUUCUUUAAAGGAGAAGACUCAGAACACUACAAAGCAUUUGAGGAGGCAGCUGAACAUUUCCAGCCUUACGUCAAGUUCUUCGCCACCUUUGACAAAGGGGUAG